AUUGAACGCUGGCGGCAUGCUUUACACAUGCAAAGUCGAGCGGCAGCGCGGGGGCAAACCUUGGCGGCGAGCGGCGAACGGGUGGGUAAUAUAUCGGAACGUGCCCAGUCGUGGGGGAUAACGCAGCGAAAGUUGUGCUAAUACCGCAUACGAUCUAUGGAUGAAAGCGGGGGAUCGCAAGACCUCGCGCGAUUGGAGCGGCCGAUAUCAGAUUAGGUUGUUGGUGAGGUAAAAGCUCACCAAGCCUGCGAUCUGUAGCUGGUCUGAGAGGACGACCAGCCACACUGGAAACUGAGACACGGUCCAGACUCCUACGGGAGGCAGCAGUGGGGAAUUUUGGACAAUGGACGAAAGUCUGAUCCAGCAAUGCCGCGUGCAGGACGGAGGCCUUCGGGUUGUAAACUGCUUUUGUAC
rnacentral:rRNA from 1 species